rnacentral:rRNA from 1 species
CAUUCUACCGCAUGGUGGUUGUGGAAGUUUUUCGGCUGGGGAUGGGCUCGCGGCCUAUCAGCUUGGUUGGUGGGGUGAUGGCCUACCAAGGCGACGACGGGUAGCCGGCCUGAGAGGGCGACCGGCCACACUGGGACUGAGACACGGCCCAGACUCCUACGGGAGGCAGCAGUGGGGAAUAUUGCGCAAUGGGCGAAAGCCUGACGCAGCAACGCCGCGUGAGGGAUGAAGGCCUUCGGGUUGUAAACCUCUUUCAGCAGGGAAGAAGCGAAAGUGACGGUACCUGCAGAAGAAGCACCGGCUAACUACGUGCCAGCAGCCGCGGUAAUACGUAGGGUGCAAGCGUUGUCCGGAAUUAUUGGGCGUAAAGAGCUCGUAGGCGGUUUGUCGCGUCUGCUGUGAAAACCUGGGGCUUAACUCCGGGCCUGCAGUGGGUACGGGCAGACUAGAGUGCGGUAGGGGAGACUGGAAUUCCUGGUGUAGCGGUGAAAUGCGCAGAUAUCAGGAGGAACACCGAUGGC